GUAGGUGGCAAGCGUUGUCCGGAAUUAUUGGGCGUAAAGCGCGCGCAGGCGGUCCUUUAAGUCUGAUGUGAAACGCCCACGGCUCAACCGUGGAGGGUCAUUGGAAACUGGGGGACUUGAGUACAGAAGAGGAAAGCGGAAUUCCACGUGUAGCGGUGAAAUGCGUAGAGAUGUGGAGGAACACCAGUGGCGAAGGCGGCUUUCUGGUCUGUAACUGACGCUGAGGCGCGAAAGCGUGGGGAGCAAACAGGGAUUAGAUACCCUGGUAGUCCACGCCGUAAACGAUGAGUGCUAAGUGUUAGGGGGUUUCCCGCCCCCUUAGUGCUGCAGCUAACGCAUUAAGCACUCCGCCUGGGGAGUACGGCCCGCAAGGCUG
rnacentral:rRNA from 1 species